rnacentral:rRNA from 1 species
UUGACGGAGAGUUUGAUCCUGGCUCAGGACGAACGCUGGCGGCGUGCUUAACACAUGCAAGUCGAACGAUGAAGUGGAGCUUGCUCCACGGAUUAGUGGCGAACGGGUGAGGAA